UCCAUUCUGUUUUUUGUGGGAGUUUCCAGUCAUAAGAAUUUAUUGACCAAGGUGUUUUUACUACUGUUGACUCCUGGAAGUAUUGUGAAGUUAAGAAAUGAAAUGUGUUUACAGGGAAUAUGCUACAAUGCUUCGACAGGCUCAAAGGUUUCAGUAGCUGAAGAGAUGAAAAAGARCACACGGCACAUAUAUUUAUGGAGCGGUGCCGUGGAAUGUAGCASUUUCAGAAAGAGAGCACCGAGAGCAAGAUUUCUGUCUACAG